AAUUUUGGACAAUGGGGGAAACCCUGACGCAGCGACGCCUCGUGAUGUCAGCAGGCUUUCGGUUUGUAAACUUCUAUCAGCAGGGAAGAUGAUGACAGUACCUGACUAAGAAGCCCCGGCUAACUACGUGCCAGCAGCCGCGGUAAUCCGUAGGGGGCAACCGUUAUCCGGAUUUACUGGGUGUAAAGGGUGCGUAGGUGGCUAGACAAGUCAGAUGUGAAAGCCCGGGGCGCAACUCCGGGACUGAAUUUGAAACUGUAGAGCUAGAGUGCAGGAGAGGUAAGUGGAAUUCAUAGUGUAGCGGUGAAAUGCGUAGAUAUUAGGAGGAACACCAGUGGCGAAGGCGGCUUACUGGACUGUAACUGACACUGAGGCACGAAAGCGUGGGGAGCAAACAGG
rnacentral:rRNA from 1 species